AGAUGCCCUUCAGAUCCUUCAUUCCUCUGCCCCCACUCAUCUGUGAUGGCUUGGUCCUUGCUUCCGUGCUCAUAGAUAAUUGCACCUUCACUUGUUAGUCUGUCAGGUAGGUAUUACUACCUCCCAGAAGGGCUAUUUGGAAAUUAAGGGCAAAGGACUGUCUUCUUCCACUGUAAGUCAUGAAAAGAUAUUUUACUCUUUUAAAUCACACCUACAGCCACACACUGCUUCUGCAUGGAGCCAGGAGCUAAUUUAAAGUCCUCAUUUUACAGAACGGAGAGGGAUUUUCUCAAGGUCACUUGCCAGGAAGGGACAGAACAAGGAACCCAGUCCUCUGUGUAUCCACAUAAUAUUCUAUACUGGGGCUAGAGAGAGCUGACCUCUGGGCCCAUCUAUAGUGUGACCAAAAACAACUCUGCCCCAUCUUUGAGUCAGUGUCCUCCUCUUUGACUGUAGCUGUCCUUCUUUGUAUCAGGGCUUGAGACUAGAGGGAAGGAAAGUGAUGAAUCUGUCAGUCUCAGGAAUCUGACUGUGAGUGGUGAAAGGUUAGCUCCAUUGCGGUGAUAGACAGGGACCCUCAUCUGCCCCCCCCCCCCAAUCGGCUCUUCCUUUUCCUAGGUAACAAACUUUUUGGCUGGUUUCCCAGCUAACAACUAGGCCUUCUUGAACCCCUGUUUAGCUGGAGGAAAGCUCUAUCUCAGAGCUCUUGAGAAAGUUUGGGGACCAGGGAAACAGUGAGGAGCCUUGGCAUCUUCUAGUCUCUCGGGAGAAAGAGGACCUUCCAAAGCCACUCUGGUCAUUUCGGGUCCAAAGACCAGGACUUUCUGGAGGUGACACAGUGAGGGAGCUCAGGCAGCAGUGCUGGGCUGCAACCAGGACUGUUUGGUUUCUGGGUCGCAGGAGCAGUUGGUCCAGAGGAGCUUUUAGCUAAUGGCAUGAAGUGCUCUGUGCCAUCAGUUUUGCAUUUCUCUGGGAUUUGUUGGUAAUCAGCUUUAUCCUGAUUUGAGGGGGAGGUAGGUGGAUUCGUAGAGAAUUAGAGAUGAUACUCACAGGAGAAAGGGGUGGGUAUGUGGAGAUUAGUCCUGAUGUCACAGACAUCUCUGUCCCUUCCCUUCACUUCCAGGUGCCCCACUGCUUGCUACCAAGGACCUAGGCCCAGGCAUAAAGAGCUCAGUGACUUAAACCCCAGCUCCUGGUUAGUGUUUUUUCCACUGCUCCUCAGCCAACUAAUAAAAGUCACCUUCCCACUCAUGCCUGACUGCCACCACCCCACCCCCCGCCAUAGAGCUUCCUGACUCCAUUUUUUCCUCAAUCAACAAAUAUUGAUGUCAGUCCAGGGUUUUCAGAAUCAGAUCAGAGAAUCUCUGCUUCUGAGAGCUUGUUUUCCAGCCCUCUUCCAGGCAGACUUCCUUGGCUUCACCAUCCCAGAGGACCCUUGGGGUCUAGAAGUUUGUGUUGUUGGAAGGCAAUUUUUUUAGACCUCCACUAAUAACUAGCCCUUUGGCAAGAGACAGACCCUUCCCUUCCUCCUGUGACUUUCUGAACACUUUCUCAGUGGCCAUUGGACUGAGUACAGGAAUCUUGUGGAGCCUGUACUUUGAGGACACUGAGGCUUUCGUGAUUGAGGACUGAGGGGAAACAGGAGCCUUUCUUCAGGCUGGAGCGUGGGGCUUGGAGACAGUUCAGGGAUCUAGUAUGGAACCUUGCUGCUCCACAUCCCCAGGAUUAGCCUCUUCCCUCUCUUGGCAGAGCUCAGCAGUAUGUGGGUGCUGCCACCAGAGGGCAGUGUGGGGCUACUUCUUGAGACGUGGAGGCGUGGUCUGGAUCGGGUUGGAUCCCCGGUGGUGCCGCCACAAACCAUCCCCUUUCCUGUAGUCCCGGGGUUUCCUUGACUUUGAGCUGUAAGGGUGUGCAGAACCAGCGGGUGGUGGCGGUCGGAUCGGCCCGGGGGUCGGGGUGUAAUUCCAGUGAUGGCUUCCUGGGUGGUCAAGCUGGAAACUCAACUUGUGUGCCUCUUAAGUAGGGGCAGGGAGAGGCGCAGAGGUGGCCCAGCUCUUCAGGAAGGACCUUUCCUUUAGGGAUGACUUCCUGGAAAGAGGUUACCCCUCUGAGUAGAAGCCCAGAAUUCUUUCGCUAUUUACAUAUUUGUGUGAUGCUGAGGAUGGAACCCAGUGCCUCAUACAUGCUAGGCAAGGCCUCUAUCACUGAGCCACAGCCCCAGCCCAGCCCCGCCCCAGGUCGGGUGUUUUUUUUUUUUUUUUUUUUUUGAGACAGGGUAUCGCUUAAUUUCCCAGUCUGUCCUCGAUUUUGCAAUCCUCCUGCCUCAGUCCCUGGAUUACAGGGGUGUGUCCCCAUGGCGCUAUUCAUAGAUUUUGUUACAAUGAUAAUUGAUCAGAACAUCCUGUCCUGGCACCACCUAGCAACAGAGGUGGUCUAGAGAUUAGGCUGAACUGAGAGGUUGUGUCUGAACUGCUCCAGUCCUACAAUGAGCAGUGACCUGGAGGAGCCCGACCCUACAGCCAAAUCCCUUGAGAACAAUUCAGGUGUCCCUGAGCUGGAGAACUGAAGGAGAGGCUCCCAGUUUUAUGGCUUGCCAGAGAGGAAGUAUUUAGGAAAGCUGGGAAAUUCCCAAUCUAUUUCUUCUCCCAUUAUUCCCUGACCACACCCUGGCCAGGAGUGAUGGGGGAGGGGAAGCCUUGGGUCUGGAAUAGUAAAUUAACUACCUCCUCCAUGACAGGCACUGUGCUAAGCACUUCACACCCAUUAUUUGUUUUUUUUUUUUUCUCCCAACCACUCUGCAAAAUAAAGGUUAUCCCCAUUUCCACAGACGAGGAUAACCAGGGUCAGGGAGGGCAGAAGACUUAGUCAAAGACAUAGAACCUGUAAGUGAACCCUUAAACAUUAGGCAUGCUAAUAAUGGCUCCAUUGCCAGGGGUAUCACUGGGCUCUCACCUGGCAGGUGACAAGAGUAACACACUCCCUGGUGUACAAAAAGGGCCCAGGUGAAACAAAAUGACCUGAGAUUCAGUACUGGCCUGAAACUUUUCAGUUGAGGAAUUUUGGGCAAUGACUUCUCUUUUCCAAGUCAGUUUCUUCUGUUUGUUUUUGUACUGGGCUGGAGGUGCCUAGGAUGGAGCUAACUUCUGGGCGUUAAAUGAGAAGUCCCACUAAGUGCCUAGCACAUACUGGAGGUCUGUGCAUGAUGGAACCACUCUGCCUAGGCCAGAAGAGGCUGCCAGAACAGCCUCUAGUCUGUGGGGCAGGGUGGGCCUUGGCUUCUCUACAGCAGAGCAGCUCUACAUCAGGAAUCCCUGGAACGUCCCUCCCCUCCACUGGGCCCUGGAGAACUCCUUAAGGGGAGAGGUGGAGGAGAGGCAGGCUUUUCAUCCCAGGAACAUUCCAUUCUAGCUGCUCAGACCAGUGGGGAUCCCAGCCAAGGACAAAGGCCCAAGGGAACCUCUGCUUUCUCCUUGAGCCCCUCCUUAAGAGGGGCCUUUGUGGAAAGCUGGUGCCAGAGGUAGUCGCUGAAGUGUUGGGCUGGGGUUGGGUGACUGUGGGAAAGAGGUCAUUAAAACUCUUGGAAUUAUUCUUUCCAGCUCCUCCUAGCUCCUCAGAGCCUCUACUCUAUGGAUCUGAACUCCUAGAUUCUGCUCCUUCCCUGGACACCUUCAGGAAGACUUUGAGAAUUGCCCCUACCUGACCUCAGUGCCCUCCUGUCUGGAGCCACCACUUCACCAUGGCAAAGGGCUGGGUUCUGGGGAACUUGCCCACACACUAUGAAUUUCUCUACAUGCACCAUAUUUGCCUUUGCUCUGUAUGAUUGAAGAUGGUAACACAGGGCCCUGAGAUGCAAUCAGAUUAUUUGAGAGUGUAGCAAACAUUUUCAAAGUGACAACAAAAAGGACCUCUCUUUAAAGGUAGAGUCAUCAUUCUUAAGUCACAGAACAGCUGGAGUCCCCAUCUGGUAGAUAUCAGUUGCUUUUGAAUCUGAUGUUUGAGGGAAAACCCUGGUCUGAGAAAUGCCUGUUUCCCUGCCCACUGUCCUCUUCUCCCCAUAUGAGGGUGUGCCUGGGGCCCCUCAAGACAAUCAGCUGCUGCCUCCCAGGGGACACACCCCUUUCUCUGGAAGAGGUAGUGGCAACAUAAAACUCCUAAGCAACAUUUUAAAUACAAGAAGACUAUAUAUUUAUUCAUAAAGUAUCCUGCUAAAGAGGGAAAGUGCACAUUUAUUCACAUACAGCUCAGAACUUGUAAAAUUCUGCAAGCAAAUGGAUAUUGAAUCAGUCCCCUGACAUAUGCGUUCAGGAAGAAUAAAUUUCAAUAAUAUGAG
rnacentral:lncRNA from 1 species